rnacentral:rRNA from 1 species
CCUGCCAGUAGUCAUAUGCUUGUCUCAAAGAUUAAGCCAUGCAAGUGUAAGUAUAAUUGUUUUACGGUGAAACUGCGAAUGGCUCAUUAAAUCAGUUAUAGUUUAUUUGAUGCUAUAGGCCGCAAGGUCACUACAUGGAUAUCUGUAGUAACAUAGAGCUAAUACAUGCAAUAUAGUCUGACUUUUUGGAAGGACUAGCACUUAUUAGAUAUUAAACCAGUCCCAGCAAUGGGUUUUAUGGUGAUUCAUAGUAACUGAACAAAUCACAUGGUCUUGUACCGGUGAUGUUUCAUUCAAAUUUCUGCCCUAUCAACUAGAUGGUAGUAUAUAGGACUACCAUGGUUGUAACGGGUAACGGAGGAUUAGGGUUUGAUUCCGGAGAAGGAGCAUGAGAAACGGCUACUAUUUCUUAAGGAAAGCAGCAGGCGCGG